rnacentral:rRNA from 1 species
CGAUUGAACGCUGGCGGAAUGCUUUACACAUGCAAGUCGAGCGGCAGCAUGGGUGCUUGCACCUGAUGGCGAGCGGCGAACGGGUGAGUAAUGCAUCGGAACGUACCCAGUCGUGGGGGAUAACUACUCGAAAGAGUGGCUAAUACCGCAUACGUCCUGAGGGAGAAAGUGGGGGACCGCAAGGCCUCACGCGAUUGGAGCGGCCGAUGUCUGAUUAGCUGGUUGGUGGGGUAAAGGCCUACCAAGGCGACGAUCAGUAGCUGGUUUGAGAGGACGACCAGCCACACUGGGACUGAGACACGGCCCAGACUCCUACGGGAGGCAGCAGUGGGGAAUUUUGGACAAUGGGCGCAAGCCUGAUCCAGCCAUUCCGCGUGAGUGAAGAAGGCCUUCGGGUUGUAAAGCUCUUUCGGCAGGGAAGAAACGGACUGGGAUAAUACCCUGGUUUAAUGACGGUACCUGAAGAAGAAGCACCGGCUAACUACGUG